GCCAAGGGCCGGCCGGGAGCGCUCUUCGGGCGAAGCGGCACCGAGCGCCGCGGCAGUCUCCUGGCAAGGGGGAGAAAAAGCCACGUCCCGCGCGUCAGCUUGCAUAGCGGGGCUGCGGAGACACAGGGCCGAGGGCAAGAAAAGAUCUGGAGCGCGGCUUACCCGAGUCUAUGUGUUUGCAGGAGCGCAGGGCCCUUGGCUGCACGGCAGCAUGCGGCACCCCGUCCUGCCCGGGCCGGGGAAGAGUCCAGCAGCCGCACGCUGGGACUGCGGCAGAGGGGGGAUAAAGUGCAUCAAACCAGCCCAGCAGCUGCCGAGAGCAAGCGGAGUACCUGCCUGUACCCUGACCAUCUUACUCCUGUAAGCGUACAAUGGAUCAUUUUCAGUCUGAGCCCUCCUUUUUGGAAGAAUCUCCCUCUCAGCAUCGUUAGCCUGUCAACAGAUGCUUAUGACACUUCUCCCAAUUAUUCCAAAAGUAUUCCCCCUCCAUUGUGCUUCUUUUCCAAAAGCUCCAAGGAAAACUCUAAUCUCCCAGCUCGCCAGUAAAACGGGAGCAUUUUCGGGGCAGAUUAGUUACGCCUGCCCUGCUUGCUACUUUCUGCUUUAAAACCAUUUUUUCAGCACACUGAAGUAUUGACUUUUGUACUAGCACAGUAAGGCAGCAACUAAUAAAAUUUUAACCUUGUAAACUAACUGUAGUAAAGGCACCUAAAAAAGUCAGGGUACUGUUAGUCUUAAAACCUCUUUUAAUCUGCUACAGCCUUAGGAACAAGUUUUGGCAUAACCCAAGCUGAAGAGAAAGAAAUGCUUCAUACUUAAAGCUACAUGAGUUAAGGGCAACAUUUAUCCAUUUUGAGAAUAUUGACAGAAUUAUUUUCACGCCAUGGGACUGUGAAUCCAUUCUUGGGGAGGUACAGCUCUUUUCACCACGCACAGCAUUAAGCCUCGACAACAGCAACCUCCUGCCAUCAAACCCAGGAGACACCACCACAGCUGUGAGUUUGCAGGCAGGUGACCCAAGUACCAGUUUGCUGUCACCAAAAGGGCAGGCCUUUUCCUGUGAUGUUUCCUGGCUGACUGUACGGGCUGACAAGCUUCAGGGCUAGGCAAGGUGUGAAGAGACAGCACAGUCUGGAGGAGGAAUGUGCACCGAUCCCUAGGAGCCACAGCUUGAGCAGAAACACAAGCCGCCUUCAAAACCUCUCCAAAUGGCAUCCUCACUGCUCCUGAUUACUCACUUUCUUCUGAGUGAAGUCCUCUGACGACUUCAUACACAGCUGUUGCCAUGGAAAAAAAAAA
rnacentral:lncRNA from 1 species